rnacentral:rRNA from 1 species
UUAAGCAUAUCAAUAAGCGGAGGAAAAGAAACUAACAAGGAUUCCCCUAGUAACUGCGAGUGAAGCGGGAAAAGCUCAAAUUUAAAAUCUGGUGGUCUUUGGCCGUCCGAGUUGUAAUUUAGAGAAGCGUCUUCCGCGCUGGACCGUGCACAAGUCUCCUGGAAUGGAGCGUCAUAGAGGGUGAGAAUCCCGUCUUUGGCAUGGACACACCAGGGCUUUUGUGAUGCGCUCUCGAAGAGUCGAGUUGUUUGGGAAUGCAGCUCAAAAUGGGUGGUGAACUCCAUCUAAAGCUAAAUAUUGGCGAGAGACCGAUAGCGAACAAGUACCGUGAGGGAAAGAUGAAAAGCACUUUGGAAAGAGAGUGAAACAGUACGUGAAAUUGUUGAAAGGGAAACGCUUGAAGUCAGUCGCGUCGCCCGAGACUCAGCCUUGCCUUGGCUUGGUGUACUUCUCGGCUGACGGGUCAGCAUCAAUUUCGCCCCUUGGAUAAUGGCGAGGGAAAUGUGACACCUUUAUGGUGUGUUAUAGUCUCUCGUCGCAUGCAAGGGUUGGGAUUGAGGAACUCAGCACGCACCUUCGGGUGUCGGGGCUUUGCCCACGAUACGUGCUCAGGAUGUUGGCGUAAUGGCUUUAAACGACCCGUCUUGAAACACGGACCAAGGAGUCUAACAUGCCUGCGAGUGUUCGGGUGGAAAACCCGUGCGCGCAAUGAAAGUGAAAGUUGGGACCUCUGUCGUGGAGGGCACCGACGCCCGGACCAGACCUUCUGUGACGGCUCUGCGGUAAAGCAUGUAUGUUAGGACCCGAAAGAUGGUGAACUAUGCCUGAAUAGGGUGAAGCCAGAGGAAACUCUGGUGGAGGCUCGUAGCGAUUCUGACGUGCAAAUCGAUCGUCAAAUUUGGGUAUAGGGGCGAAAGACUAAUCGAACCAUCUAGUAGCUGGUUCCUGCCGAAGUUCCC